CGAUCUUGUGCCAGGUACUCCACUAGGCGCUGGCUAUGAAGACCCUGUACCCCACUGGCUGUUAUCUCCCCACUGUGUUCCCUUGCACACUCUCUCCCAUGUCACAGGAGAACACUCAGAGCUCCAUGUCCACAGGGUCCCAGUGACAGGCACCCCCGUGAUAACUGAAAGGCACAAGAAGAACCCUGAUUUUCAGGCCUAAACUAUGAGAUGGCAAGUUGAGGUUUUGCCCAUAACUUCCAGGUUUUUGUUGAGAAACCCCAACUCCAAUGCUACAGGCAACUGAAAUCAACAGCUGCAACUUCCCAUGACAUUUCCAGAUUUCCAGAAUGUGGCCUCUCUGACCUUUGCUUCCCCCAUAUUCCAUCUCCGACAAUUGGGUAAGAUUCUAAAUCUUUGUACUCGAUCACUUUCUGCUCAAGAUGCCUAGAGUGGUUCCUGUUUCUCUCUUCCCAAAGGACUUUGCCCAUACCUUGGGGGAAGGCAAGACCAGGGCCUACCGGGGCUGCCCAGAUGAAAAGCUGUGUUCAUGCAGGCCCGUCUGGUCACACUGGGCUCAGCCCUGCCAGGACACAAUGUGUGGAUCCACUACAACAAACCAAAUCAGCAUGGCCAAAGAUGCCAUUGAAAACAUGGCAAGCCCACGUGGGAUCACACAUGACAAAAGAGCUGCCCACCCAAGGAGGCCCUGCACCCUACUCUCUGCUCAGCUCUCCCAACGGAAUUAAGAUUUCCCUGAUGCCGGUAUUGAACACUACUUCGAAUUUGAGCCAUAUGGAAACAGUGGAUGUAGCUCCUGCCUCGCCCUCGGUUUCCUACCACAGGUGUUUGCUCAAAGUUUCUGCUGUGGAUCUUGAAGCCAUCAUCUCUAUGUGGGACAGUGUGCAAACUGAGUCAACAUCCCAGUCAAGCUGGAGGGCAGAACCCCUGACCCCCAGUGCAGAGGUCCUUUCCAGUUCACCAAGCUGCCUGCCUCCCCAUGUAGGAUGCACAGCCUAGUGGACUUUGCUGGGAUCACCC
rnacentral:lncRNA from 1 species